rnacentral:rRNA from 1 species
GAUGAACGCUGGCGGCGUGCUUAACACAUGCAAGUCGAACGGUGAAGCAGGAGCUUGCUCUUGUGGAUCAGUGGCGAACGGGUGAGUAACACGUGAGCAACCUGCCCCUGCCUCUGGGAUAAGCGCUGGAAACGGCGUCUAAUACUGGAUAUGUGAUGUGACCGCAUGGUCUGCAUCUGGACAGACUUUCGGUUGGGGAUGGGCUCGCGGCCUAUCAGCUUGUUGGUGAGGUAAUGGCUCACCAAGGCGUCGACGGGUAGCCGGCCUGAGAGGGUGACCGGCCACACUGGGACUGAGACACGGCCCAGACUCCUACGGGAGGCAGCAGUGGGGAAUAUUGCACAAUGGGCGGAAGCCUGAUGCGGCAACGCCGCGUGAGGGAUGACGGCCUUCGGGUUGUAAACCUCUUUUAGCAGGGAAGAAGCGAAAGUGACGGUACCUGCAGAAAAAGCACCGGCUAACUACGUGCCAGCCGCCGCGGUAA